CUCCCCAUGGCUGAGUUGGUGACAGCGUCCGGUUGUUAUGCGUAAUAGAGCUUUAAAGUGUUAACAGCGGAAGGUCGAGAGUUCAAGCCUCUCUGGGGAGU